rnacentral:rRNA from 1 species
UACGUACGGGAGGCAGCAGUAGGGAAUCUUCCGCAAUGGACGCAAGUCUGACGGAGCAACGCCGCGUGAGUGAAGAAGGAUUUCGGUUCGUAAAACUCUGUUGUUAGAGAAGAACAGCGCGUAGAGUAACUGUUAUGCGUGUGACGGUAUCUAACCAGAAAGCCACGGCUAACUACGUGCCAGCAGCCGCGGUAAUCGUA